CCUGGAAUCACACAGCAACUGCAUCUCCUCUCUCAGGAAGAGAAGGAGGGGGACCAGGGUCUGAUACGAGAGGCUCCUCAUUUUAGUGGAGGUGUAGGCAGAGCAAGAGUCCCCUGUACCCCUCUCACACUGUUGGCUCCAGCUCUGAGCCCAGCAUCCCUUGAAGAUUGGGCUGGGCAGGGCUAAGGGAUACCAUGUGAACCUGUACCAGCCACAGGAUGGGCAGGGACCACAGACUCAUAUCUAUGACCUCCUAUGACCUCACAGCCACACAACCAGGCCAGAGUUUUGCUUCUCUCUACAGAAGAUAAUGAUGAGGCUGUGGAAGGGGGAACUGACUUGCCCCAGUUUGCAAGUUCAUUUGUAAAUGGAAGCAACUGAUUCAUGAGUGAGAACUGGAAUGCCCAGCAGGUUCUGCUCUGUGGCCAUGGCAGGAGCCACUUCCUCUGGCUGUUCUUCGUGUCUCCAUCAGAAUAAUAAAGACCUGGCCAACCAAUCUCCAAGGGAGGUGCUUUAAGCUCUGGCAUAUUGUUACUUAAAGGGUGAUCCUAGAGGGUUAGCAAACCAGAGCAACACCCAAAUGAGUCAUUCAAGCUGGAGAUCUUUUGGUCCCACUGAUACUUUAUUGCCUUUUCUAUUUGGCACAUUUGUGAAAAUCUCUGCUGAUUUGCAAGGGGCUUCUGGGUAUAUCUGGAGGUGCAAUUAGUUCUCUGCCCUCUCCCCACACUGUUGUCUCCCCAUGUGUCCUGACCUGCAUUGUCAUCUGUCUGGCUGGCUGCUGCCCUUGACCUGGACCUGCCACCUGGAGCUUCUCCUCUCCUGUUUCUUCACCUUUUCUUUCUCAUCCAGCCUGUGGCUAGCCCAGGCCUGGACCUUCUCAUGCUGCACUUUUAAAUGAUCUCCAGGAUUCCUGCUUUUAUCAACAUUUAAACCCCAUCAUCUGGGGCGCCUGGGUGGCUCAGUCAGUUGAGCAUCUGCCUUCAGCUUGGGUCAUGAUCCCAGGGUCCCGGAAUUGAGCCUCGAGUCGGGCUUCCUGCUCUGUGGGGAGCCUGCCUCUGCCUCUCCCGCUGCCCCUCCUCAUGUACUCUCUCUCUUGCUCACUCUGUCUCUCAAAUAAAUAAAUAAAAUAUUUUUAAAAAAUAAAUAAGUAAACCCCAUCAUCCUCUUAUUUGUAAAGUGCUGUCAGAGGUGGAUGGAGUGGAAUGGCCACUGGGUAAGGAUUCAGACAUACCCAUGAAGGAUGCCAAGCUCUGUCACUCACCAGCCUGGACAAAGUUAGGGAGCUUCUCUGAGCCUCAGCUUCCCCAUCCAUAAAAUGGAGCUGAUGAUGGAAAUCCGAUGGUUGGGAAAACUACAUAAGAUCAUACACAUGUGGGGCGGCCCAGUAGCGCAGCGGUUUAGUGCUGCCUGCAGCCCGGGUGUGAUCCUGGAGACCUGGGAUUGAGUCCCAUGUCGGCUUCCAUGCAUGGACCCUGCUUCUCCCUCUACCUGUGUCUCUGCC
rnacentral:lncRNA from 1 species